AUGGAGGCAUCGAAACGGUUUUUGAUGGGAUAUUUGGACUCCUUGAUAUCGCUCAAAUAUUCAGAUGAGGAGCUUCUGAAAGAUGGGAAGGCAGGAGCUGGCAUGGUCCUCCGAGACAACAAGGGCCAGAUCAUAUAUACAUCAUGCAGGGAGCUCUUUUCAUGCAGGAAUGCAUUGGAGUCUGAACUAAGUGCAUGUAUGGAGGGUCUCUCACUAGCAAUUAAGAGAACGGAGCUACCUAUUCAGGUCGAAAUGGACUCACGGGAGGCCUUGAACAUGAUCACAAAUGAUUCGCCUGAUAGGUCACUGUUCUCAUCAUUGGUAAAGGAAAUCAAGCACCUGAGGAGUCUUCGUAAUACUAUUUUCAAAACCAAGAGUAGAACAGUAGUGUGGCUUAACUCUGGUUUAUCAGAGGUCAUUGAACUUUGUAAUGCAGACUGUGGACUUACCACUUGA
rnacentral:rRNA from 1 species